rnacentral:rRNA from 1 species
GACGAACGCUGGCGGCGUGCUUAACACAUGCAAGUCGAGCGGUAAGGCCCUUUCGGGGGUACACGAGCGGCGAACGGGUGAGUAACACGUGGGUGACCUGCCCUCAGCUCUGGGAUAAGCCUGGGAAACUGGGUCUAAUACUGGAUAUGACUCCACGGUGCAUGUCGUGGGGUGGAAAGCCCUGUGCGGCUGAGGAUGGGCCCGCGGCCUAUCAGCUUGUUGGUGGGGUGANGGCCUACCAAGGCGACGACGGGUAGCCGGCCUGAGAGGGCGACCGGCCACACUGGGACUGAGACACGGCCCAGACUCCUACGGGAGGCAGCAGUGGGGAAUCUUGCGCAAUGGGCGAAAGCCUGACGCAGCGACGCCGCGUGAGGGAUGACGGCCU